GACGAACGCUGGCGGUGUGCUUAACACAUGCAAGUCGAACGAAGUGGCGAACGGGUGAGUAAUACGUGAGUAACCUGCCCUCCUUUUUGGGAUAAGCCUUGGAAACGGGGUCUAAUACCGAAUAACGGGGGAUGGGCUCGCGGCCUAUCAGCUUGUUGGGGGGGUGAUGGCCUACCAGGGCGGUGACGGGUAGCCGGCCGGGGAGGGUGACGGGCCACAUGGGACUUGAGAUACGGCCCAGACUCCUACGGGAGGCAGCAGUGGGGAAUGUCGGACAUGGGGGGAAAGCCUGAUCCAGCCAUGCCGCGUGUGUGAAGAAGGUCUUCGGAUUGUAAAGCACUUUAAGUGGGGAGGCGUUACCAACAGAAUAAGCACCGGCUAACUUCGUGCCAGCAGCCGCGGUAAUUC
rnacentral:rRNA from 1 species